CAUACUGCUUGAAAACACCUAAUCUUGUCUAAUCUUGGAAGCGAAGUCGGAUGGGCCUGGCUAGAACUUAGAUGAGACAAACUGUCAUGGCCAGAA
rnacentral:rRNA from 1 species